CAGCAGCCACGGUAAUACAGAGGGUGCGAGCGUUAAUCGGAUUUACUGGGCGUAAAGCGUGCGUAGGCGGCUUUUUAAGUCGGAUGUGAAAUCCCUGAGCUUAACUUAGGAAUUGCAUUCGAUACUGGGAAGCUAGAGUAUGGGAGAGGAUGGUAGAAUUCCAGGUGUAGCGGUGAAAUGCGUAGAGAUCUGGAGGAAUACCGAUGGCGAAGGCAGCCAUCUGGCCUAAUACUGACGCUGAGGUACGAAAGCAUGGGGAGCAAACAGGAUUAGAUACCCCGUUGUCCCUGUCUCUUAUACA
rnacentral:rRNA from 1 species